ACAGGUCUGUGAUGCCCU
rnacentral:ncRNA from 3 species